rnacentral:rRNA from 1 species
GUCGCGUGAGGGACGACGGAUCUAUGGUCUGUAAACCUCUUUUAUAAGGGAAGAAUAAGGAUUACGUGUAGUCCGAUGCCAGUACCUUAGGAAUAAGCACCGGCUAACUCCGUGCCAGCAGCCGCGGUAAUACGGAGGGUGCAAGCGUUAUCCGGAUUUAUUGGGUUUAAAGGGUGCGUAGGCGGCAAUUCAAGUCAGUGGUGAAAUCCGGCAGCUCAACUGUCGCGAGCCAUUGAAACUGGAUAGCUUGAGUACAGUCGAGGUAAGCGGAAUAAGUGAAGUAGCGGUGAAAUGCAUAGAUAUCACUUAGAACUCCGAUAGCGAAGGCAGCUUACCAGCCUGUAACUGACGCUGAUGCACGAGAGCGUGGGUAGCGAACAGGAUUAGAUACCCUGGUAGUCCACGCCGUAAACGAUGCUCACUGGUUCUAAGCGACAGACAGUUUGGGACCGAGCGAAAGUAAAAGUGAGCCACCUGGGGAGUACGUC